rnacentral:lncRNA from 10 species
AAACAGAAUCAUAUUCACGGAGCUACAUGUAGUAUCCUAUUUGGGAGGCAUAAACUGGAAGGGUUGGGAAUGGGGUGGUGAAGGAGCACAACAGAUGAAGCCAGAGAGAAAGGGGCUUCAGAAAAUGGAGGGUGUUGUAAGGAACAGUGUCUUUUUUUUUUUUUUUUUUUUUUUUGAGAUUGAGUUUCACUCUUGUAGCCUAGGCUAGAGUGCAAUGGCGCGACCUUGGCUAACUGCAACCUCCACCUCCUGGGUUCAAGCGAUCUUCCUGCCUCAGCCUCCCGAGUAGCUGGGAUUACAGGCGCCCACCACCACGCCUGGUUAAUUUUUGUAUUUUAGUAGAGAUGGGGUUUCAUUAUGUUGACCAGGCGUCUUAUAUGUCUUCCGAAGAAGAAGAAGAAAAAACUUCUAGUGUGAACAAUCAGCUUUUUUGGGUGUCUGUGUUUUUUCCUACCCAUUAAUGAUUCUCUUUCUUCUGGUGACAAGUUGUCACGAUUUUCCUCUGAGGAACAGGCCCUUCUUUGGUAUCACUGCAUGUGAGGAUUUGGAACAUCCCCAUAGCAUGAAGUGGCAUUGGCUUUCUGAUUUCUGCUUCUAGAUCAUCAGGGACAGUAGAAGACUGGAGUCAAAUAUUCAACUCAACUGUGAGUGAAAAAUAUAUAGGAAAAAAAUUCCACAAAGUAUCAAACAGCAAAACUUAAAUUUGUCAUGCACUGAACUACGUUGAACCCACGAGAAUGAAGUGAUGUACAGGGACAGUCUUGCGAUAUGGCCGAGGCUGGAGUGCCGUGGUGCGAUCAUAGCUCACUAAAACCUGGAACUCCUGCACUCGAGGGACUCCUGGGAACUCUGAGCAAUGCUCUCACCUCAGCCUCCUGAGCGGCUAAGACUACAGGUGACUGCCACCACACUUGUCUAAUUUUAGAAUAUUUUUGUAGAGAUAGGAUCUUGCUAUGUUGCCUAGUUUAGUCUUGAACACCUCGCCUCAAGAAAUCCUCCUGCCUUGGCCUCCCAAAGUGUUGAGAUAUCAGGUAUGAGACACCCUGCCUGGACUUGCAUCUACUAUCAUGCUGGUCCCUCCACCCAAAAUUUCCUUCUCCUCAUUCUGUUCCCCAUGUCUCUAUGUUAAAUCUUUUAAAGGCUAUCAUAGCCUUUCCUGAUCCACCUACCCAAC